AGGGCCGUGUUGUAAAUGCCUUAGUCUUUGUGGGCCGAGAGACAAAAUUGAGAAUGUCAGGUAGAUACUUACAUAACAUGACGAGAAAAAAGUUCACAGUUUUUUAUUUUAUCAAUUCAAAGUGUAAUAAUACAAUUUUAAUACAGGUAUACUAAUGAAAGGCAUGGAAUUCUUUUGGGGGGAAAUAACAUUUCACUUGGUGUUCAAAGUGUUCUUUCAUAAAAAUUGACUGCAGAUGUUCAUCUAUUAAUGCUGAUUUUUUAUGAGAUUUUAUGUACUUCCAUUUUUGAAAUGUCUUUCUACCCAGACAGGUACUGCCAAAGACUGGUAUCAACCCAUGAGCACGUGAUUUUACUUGAGUGUAUUCAUUGCUUAGAAGGCAUUUCUAAAAUUCUAUUAGAAUUCUACAAAAUCUCUUGAUAUUUCCCCUUUAGGAUGCCAUUACAUUGCAGAUUAAUCACUUCCAGUUGAAGGUUAAAUGGAAGCUUCUCAGUUGCACAGUUAAGUAAAUUUUAAAUAUGAAAAUUUCCUUUGCACUUGCAUUGAAAUUCAAAAAACACUGUUGGUACUGUAGUUUGAGUUCAGAAAAACAUAACUGCUGCAAAUUUGUGUUGGAAUGGAGAUCUUGCUUCUUGUUUUAACUUUUGACAGCAUGAGAAGUGUGUAAAACAGCUUGACAUUAUUUGUGAUUCAAACAAUGUUAGUUGUGUCAAAAUGAUUUUACUGCAGUUUUAAGUUUUGCAUGCAAGCUCUAUUUUGCCUUGUAGUUUUAGGUUAAAUUCAUAAAGAAACAUUAUCAAGUCUGUAGUAAAAGCUUAUUGGCAGAGCCAUUCGGCAUUCAAUAAUAGUGGUUGAGGGAAGUUCUUCUCAUUCAUUCAUUUCCAUUUGUCGCUUGUUUCUCUGUUCCUUGUUUUCUGAGAACUUCUUUUGGGUAAAUUGGAUUUUUUUUUUCAUAUUCCAUUUAAAUUAUUAGAUUGUCUUUUUAGAUUUUCUUCUUUAUGUUAAAUAUGGGGGUUGCUUUAGAAAUUACAAUUUGCGUAUGUUAUUAUCACAGUCUACCUUUAAAUAAUAUGCUGUUUUAUGAAUCUGUUAAAAAGUUACAGUGUAAUUCCAUUUAUCCCUCUUCCAUCCUCUGUAUUGUUGUCUUAUAUUUUACUUCUACAUGUUAUAAAAUUCAUUUUACCUUGUAUUUUUAUGGUAUUUAGAAAUUUGUAAAUAUAUGCAUAUAAUGAAUGUAUUAAAAUAUGUCUCUCUUUAAUUUGCCCAGAUAUUUAUCCUUUCUAGUACUUUUUUAAUCCUUCUUGCAGAUCUGCUUUUCCAUCUGGUAUCUUCCCUUUGGCCUGAAGAACUUCGCUCAGCAUUGCCUGUGUGCUGUUUGUUGGAGAAGCCUCUCAGCUUUUGUCUGCCUCUAAAUGUCUUUAUUUCACUUUUGAAGGGUAUUUUUACUGUAUGUAAAAUUUUAUGUUGACAUUUUCUUUUCUUUCAGCACUUUAAACAUGUCAUUCAUCUUCUGACUUCAUAUUUUGAUUAAAAAAAUCACUUGUAGUUCA
ensembl:lncRNA